rnacentral:rRNA from 1 species
UACGUAGGGUGCGAGCGUUGUCCGGAAUUAUUGGGCGUAAAGAGCUUGUAGGCGGUUUGUUGCGUCGGCUGUGAAAUCCCGAGGCUCAACCUCGGGUCUGCAGUCGAUACGAGCAAACUAGAGUGUUGCAGGGGAGACUGGAAUUCCUGGUGUAGCGGUGAAAUGCGCAGAUAUCAGGAGGAACACCGGUGGCGAAGGCGGGUCUCUGGGCAACAACUGACGCUGAGGAGCGAAAGCGUGGGGAGCGAACAGG